GCCCGAGUGGCGGAAUGGCAGACGCGGCGGUCUCAAAAACCGCUGUCUCACGACGUGCGAGUUCGACUCUCGCCUCGGGCACCA
rnacentral:tRNA from 1 species